AUCGCUUCUCGGCCUUUUGGCUAAGAUCAAGUGUAGUAACAAAGCAGAUGUAAUCUUCUGUGAUUCUGUAGGCAAAUAUAAAAUCUAUUCUUAUGUCUUCCAUAUGUGUCCUGUUGUUUUAUCAAUACUAAUAAUGUAAAGAAAACAUAG
ensembl:snRNA U2 U2 spliceosomal RNA